rnacentral:SRP_RNA from 1 species
GCCAGGUGUGGUGGCGCACACCUGUAAUCCCAGCUACUUGGGAGGCUGAGGCGGGAGAAUUGCUUGAACCCGGGAGGCGGAGGUUGCAGUGAGCUGAGAUCGAGAUCAUGCCACUGCACUCCAGCCUGGGCAACAGAGCGAGACUCCACCCCAA